rnacentral:rRNA from 1 species
UACGGAGGGGGCUAGCGUUGUUCGGAAUCACUGGGCGUAAAGGGCGCGUAGGCGGCCCUUCUUGUCGCGUGUGAAAGCCCCGGGCUCAACCUGGGAACGGCGCGCGAGACGGGAGGGCUGGAGUUCGGGAGAGGAGCGUGGAAUUCCCAGUGUAGAGGUGAAAUUCGUAGAUAUUGGGAAGAACACCGGUGGCGAAGGCGGCGCUCUGGACCGAGACUGACGCUGAGGCGCGAAAGCGUGGGGAGCAAACAGG